rnacentral:rRNA from 1 species
GAUGAACGCUGGCGGCGUGCCUAAUACAUGCAAGUCGAGCGAACAGACGAGGAGCUUGCUCCUCUGACGUUAGCGGCGGACGGGUGAGUAACGCGUGGAUAACCUACCUAUAAGAGGGGGAAAAUUUCGGGAAACCGGAGCUAAUACCGGAUAAUCUAUUGAACCGUAGGGUUGAAUAGUGAAAGACGGUGUUGCUGGCACUUAUAGAUGGAUCCGCGCCGCAUUAGGUGGUUGGUAAGUUAAAGGCUUACCAAGGCAACUAGGCGUUGGCGAGGGGUUAGGGUGAUAGCCCACCUGGGAGCGUGAACACGGUCCAUGCUCCUACGAGAGGCAGCAGUAGGGUACCUUCCGCAAUGGGCGAAAGCAUGGCGGAGCAGCCCGGCGUGAGAGAUGAAGGCCUUCGGUUCGUAAAACUCUCUUAUUAGGGAAGAACAAAUUUGUAAGUAACCGUGCACUUAUUGACGGUACCUAGUCAGAAAGCCACGGCUAACUACGUG